AUCUGAUUAAGAAUUGUUGAUAAGUGAGAUGUACGUCAUGCCCAUUAUUACGUCACUUACGUCAUGACGUAAUUCGAUUUUCUGACGUAACUUGUCAUAGAAACGACGUUCCGCAACAUUAGAUAUCAACACAUCACGUGAAUUAUGAACAGAUUAUCAAGAAACGACUACAAAGCUCACUCAAGAAUGGACAAUGUUUGUUCCUCAAAAAGGGCAAGGUCUAUAUGUGGCGCACAUAGAGGACACGAUUCCCAAAGAAAAUUGACAAAUCAAAGAAAAAUUGAGGAUAAGACCUCACAAAAGAAAAGGCGAAGUAAGAGCGCUUUACCACCACUAAGUCAGAGGAAGUCAAUGCCAC